AGAGUUUGAUCCUGGCUCAGGACGAACGCUGGCGGCGUGCCUAAUACAUGCAAGUCGAACGCUUCUUUCCUCCCGAGUGCUUGCACUCAAUUGGAAAGAGGAGUGGCGGACGGGUGAGUAACACGUGGGUAACCUACCCAUCAGAGGGGGAUAACACUUGGAAACAGGUGCUAAUACCGCAUAACAGUUUAUGCCGCAUGGCAUAAGAGUGAAAGGCGCUUUCGGGUGUCGCUGAUGGAUGGACCCGCGGUGCAUUAGCUAGUUGGUGAGGUAACGGCUCACCAAGGCCACGAUGCAUAGCCGACCUGAGAGGGUGAUCGGCCACACUGGGACUGAGACACGGCCCAGACUCCUACGGGAGGCAGCAGUAGGGAAUCUUCGGCAAUGGACGAAAGUCUGACCGAGCAACGCCGCGUGAGUGAAGAAGGUUUUCGGAUCGUAAAACUCUGUUGUUAGAGAAGAACAAGGACGUUAGUAACUGAACGUCCCCUGACGGUAUCUAACCAGAAAGCCACGGCUAACUACGUGCCAGCAGCCGCGGUAAUACGUAGGUGGCAAGCGUUGUCCGGAUUUAUUGGGCGUAAAGCGAGCGCAGGCGGUUUCUUAAGUCUGAUGUGAAAGCCCCCGGCUCAACCGGGGAGGGUCAUUGGAAACUGGGAGACUUGAGUGCAGAAGAGGAGAGUGGAAUUCCAUGUGUAGCGGUGAAAUGCGUAGAUAUUAGGAGGAACACCAGUAGCGAAGGCGGCUUUCUGGACUGUAACUGACACUGAGGCACGAAAGCAUGGGGAGCAAACAGGAUUAGAUACCCUGGUAGUCCACGCCGUAAACGAUGAGUACUA
rnacentral:rRNA from 1 species